rnacentral:rRNA from 1 species
CCGGCGACCGGCGCACGGGUGAGUAACACGUAUGCAACCUGGCCGUGACAGAUGGAUAACCGGGAGAAAUCCCGCCUAAUACAACAUAAUGCCGGGAGGGGACAUCCCCUGCCGGCCGAAGGGGGCGACCCCGGUCACGGAUGGGCAUGCGGCGCAUUAGGUAGUUGGUGGGGCAACGGCCCACCAAGCCGACGAUGCGUAGGGGUUCUGAGAGGAAGGUCCCCCACAUUGGAACUGAGACACGGUCCAAACUCCUACGGAAGGCAGCAG